CAAAGUCAAAAGGCAAAUCUAAAUCCACAAAGAAAAAGAAAGAGAAGAAAAAAGGACCAAGAAUGAGUCAUACUGAACUUUGACAGUUGUUUACAGAUUGACUUAAAUAAUGCUUUCAAACUCAGAGAGUUGAGAAGGACCAUAAACAUGAAAGCACCUACCAUAGGUGAUCUUAUUCAGGGAUUGUUGUGGAUAGUAUUUAUUACUACAUUCUAGAAAUGUAGAUUUGAGGGUUUAAAGAAUAUUGGGGAAAGUUUUUUAUAAUAUAGGGUUAAAGAGUUUCAGUACAGCUGAAAGAUUGAUUUUAAUGAAUGGUUUAUUGCUAUACUUUUAAGAGGUCAAUGUAUGUUUUUUUAAUGAUUUUAAGUAGUAUCCUACGCCACAGUUCAAAUGACUGGUUAGAUUUUGUUGCCCUGCCAUAUUUAGCUGAUUAAGAUUUUUGUCGAGCCUUCGACUUUAAUCGAAAAAGCGAGACUAAGCGAUCCUACAUUCUGUCGUUGUUGGCGUCGUUGUCGUCGUCGGCGCGUCCACAAAUAUUCACUCUGUGGUUAAAGUUUUUGAAAUUUUAAUAACUUUCUUAAACUAUACUGAAUUUCUACCAAAC
rnacentral:lncRNA from 1 species